rnacentral:snRNA from 1 species
GUGCUCGCUUUGGCAGCACAUAUACUAAAAUUCGAACGAUACAGAGAAGAUUAGCAUGGCCCCUGUGCAAGGAUGGCACCAUCAAUGAAAGCAAAAGAAGACAAAGGA